GCUAAAUAAUAUUCGUUUACAUUUUUAUGUAAUUUCCUAGAUUUUAAUAAAACAAAACCACAAAAAUUCUAUUAAUUUCAGUGUAACAACUCUCCUGUCAUGCAGCCUCCUAUCAAGCAACCCUGAACAUUCAGCAUUGCAGCACAGACUUCUACUGCUUGAGGUCCCAGGAAGGGAGAGACUUUAAAAUGACCUGGGCAAAUAGCUAAGUCACGAGAAGAGAAAGAGACUGCUUCAGGGACAGAGGAGCUGUCAGCAGGGGACACUAGAUGAUUGCGACACCAGGCCUGAUCAUUAGGCUCCCCCAGGUUGCCCCCUGGAGCACAUCUCACACCUGGAACUAACAUCAUCAAUCACUGUAAGGAGAGGGAUCACUUAAGGGCACCCAGAGGAUAACUUUAGUUUUGCCCUGAGGCUGUUCUUAUAUGUACUCAGUUAGAGAGAGCAAAGAAGAAUUCUGCUGGCCCGCAAAGUGUGGUGAACUACAUUAACUGUGAGAGGAACUCCAGGGAAUGGUGCCUGAGAGUCAGCUCUUUGUGACAGCUGGAAGGACUUAGAGGGGGUGAGAGCUGAGCCCCGAAGGUGGGGCUGAAGAAUAGCCUGAGAGUGGCAGAAACAUGGUUCAUUGUUUUGGAUGUUUUGUUUGGUUAUUUAAUUGGACUUUUGUUGUCCCGGAAGGGGACUGAACUUUACAUGUGACCUGGUGGGAGGGCUGAGUCACCCAGAAGACUGUUGCAGAACAAGAUUGGCCAACAAAAGAGGGUGCUAGAGCAGAAAAACCUCUACAAUGCCACAUCCUGGCAUGAGAGGGGGGAUUCUCUGACAGUGAACUUCCACCCUAUCCCAACAACGCUCCACCUUUAUUAAACUGCACUCAAACCAUUGUCAUUUGUUUAAUGGUGUUUUCUUGUGUGUGUGUGUGUCUGUGUCUGUGUAGGAUACGUAGCAACAUUUUGAAGUGCUUCUUCACCUUACAUAUUAUAGGACUCUGAGUUUUGUGCCAUAUCUUUUCCAAAAUAGAUAUC